rnacentral:lncRNA from 1 species
CAGCCCUGCCCCACAUCUGACCCACUGCGACCCACAUCUGACCCAUAGAGACCCACUGAGACCCACUGAGACCCACAGAGACCCACAGG